rnacentral:rRNA from 1 species
CAGCCGCCGCGGGAAUACGUAGGGUGCAAGCGUUAAUCGGAGUUACUGGGCAUAAAGCGUGCGCAGGCGGUUCUAUAAGACAGAUGUGAAAUCCCCGGGCUCAACCUGGGAACUGCAUUUGUGACUGUAGAGCUGGAGUGCGGCAGAGGGGGAUGGAAUUCCGCGUGUAGCAGUGAAAUGCGUAGAUAUGCGGAGGAACACCGAUGGCGAAGGCAAUCCCCUGGGCCUGCACUGACGCUCAUGCACGAAAGCGUGGGGAGCAAACAGGAUUAGAUACCCCAGUAGUCCCUGUCUCUUAUAC